CCUACGGGGAGCUGCAGUGAGGAAUAUUGGUCAAUGGGCGAGAGCCUGAACCAGCCAAGUCGCGUGAAGGAUGACGGCCCUACGGGUUGUAAACUUCUUUUGUCAGGGAGCAAUUGAGUCCACGUGUGGGCUUAGCGAGAGUACCUGAAGAAAAAGCCUCGGUUAACUCCGUGCCAGAAGCCGCGGUACUACGGAGGAUGCGAGCGUUAUCCGGAUUUCUUGGGUUAAAAGGGUGCGUAGGCGGAAUAUCAAGUCCGCGGUAAACAUUCGGGGCUCAACCUCGUCGUGCCGUUGAAACUGAUGUUCUUGAGUGGGCGAGAAGUAUGCGGAAGGCGUGGUGUAGCGGUGAAAUGCGUAGAUAUCACGCAGAACUCCGAUUGCGAAGGCAGCAUACCGGCGCCCAACUGACGCUGAAGCACGAAAGCGUGGGUAUCGAACAGGAUUAGAGACCCUUGUAGUC
rnacentral:rRNA from 1 species